rnacentral:rRNA from 1 species
UACGUAGGGCGCAAGCGUUGUCCGGAAUUAUUGGGCGUAAAGAGCUUGUAGGCGGUUUGUCGCGUCUGCUGUGAAAUCUCAAGGCUCAACCUUGAGCUUGCAGUGGGUACGGGCAGACUAGAGUGUGGUAGGGGAGACUGGAAUUCCUGGUGUAGCGGUGAAAUGCGCAGAUAUCAGGAGGAACACCGGUGGCGAAGGCGGGUCUCUGGGCCGAUACUGACGCUGAGGAGCGAAAGCGUGGGGAGCGAACAGG